AACGUAGGUCCCGAGCGUUAUCCGGAUUUACUGGGCGUAAAGCGUGUUCAGGCGGUCUAGCAAGUCGGGCAUGAAAUCUCUCGGCUCAACCGGGAGGGGUUGUCCGAUACUGCUGGGCUUGAGGGCAGCAGAGGGUGGUGGAAUUCCGGGUGUAGUGGUGAAAUGCGCAGAUAUCAGGAGGAACACCGGUGGCGAAGGCGGAUCUCUGGGCCUGUUCUGACGCUGAGGCGCGAAAGCUAGGGGAGCAAACAGG
rnacentral:rRNA from 1 species